CCUGAUCCAGCCAUGCCGCGUGAGUGAAGAAGGCCUUAGGGUUGUAAAGCUCUUUCAGCAGGGAAGAUGAUGACGGUACCUGCAGAAGAAGCCCCGGCUAACUCCGUGCCAGCAGCCGCGGUAAUACGGAGGGGGCUAGCGUUGCUCGGAAUUACUGGGCGUAAAGAGCAUGUAGGCGGAUUGUAUAGUCAGGCGUGAAAGCCCCAGGCUCAACCUGGGAACUGCGUUUGAUACUUACAGUCUAGAGUCCGAGAGAGGGUGGUGGAAUUCCCAGUGUAGAGGUGAAAUUCGUAGAUAUUGGGAAGAACACCAGUGGCGAAGGCGGCCACCUGGCUCGGUACUGACGCUGAGAUGCGAAAGCGUGGGGAGCGAACAGGAUUAGAUACCCUGGUAGUCCACGCCGUAAACGAUGUGCGCUAGACGUCGGGCAGCUUGCUGUUCGGUGUCGCAGCUAACGCAUUAAGCGCACCGCCUGGGGAGUACGGUCGCAAGAUUAAAACUCAAAGGAAUUGACGGGGGCCCGCACAAGCGGUGGAGCAUGUGGUUUAAUUCGAUGCAACGCGCAGAACCUUACCAGCCCUUGACAUACCGAUCGCGAUUUCCAGAGAUGGAUUUCUUCAGUUCGGCUGGAUCGGAUACAGGUGCUGCAUGGCUGUCGUCAGCUCGUGUCGUGAGAUGUUGGGUUAAGUCCCGCAACGAGCGCAACCCUCAUCCUUAGUUGCCAGCGGUUCGGCCGGGCACUCUAAGGAAACUGCCGGUGACAAGCCGGAGGAAGGCGAGGAUGACGUCAAGUCCUCAUGGCCCUUAUGGGCUGGGCUACACACGUGCUACAAUGGCAGUGACAGUGGGAAGCAAUACCGCGAGGUGGAGCAAAUCCCCAAAAACUGUCUCAGUUCGGAUUGUACUCUGCAACUCGAGUGCAUGAAGUUGGAAUCGCUAGUAAUCGCGGAUCAGCAUGCCGCGGUGAAUACGUUCUCGGGCCUUGUACACACCGCCCGUCACACCAUGGGAGUUGGCUUUACCCGAAGCCGGUGCGCUAACCGCAAGGAGGCAGCCGUCCACGGUAAGGUCAGCAACUGGGGUGAAGUCGUAACAAGGUAACC
rnacentral:rRNA from 1 species